CAGCACCACCUACUCCUCACCUUCUCUCUCUCUCUCUCUCUCUCUCUCUCUCAAGACUCAAACUUUCUCUCGUUAUCCAAAAUGCCUAGCAAGCUAACAAAGAAAACGUGAGAGGAGGGGUGGGUAUUUAUAGAUAGAUAGUGAGAGAGAGAGAGAGAGAGAGAGAGAGAGAAAGUGGGGUAAGGGGUAAG
rnacentral:miRNA from 1 species